CCUGGUGGCUCAGAAGGUAGAGCAUCUGCCUACAAUGCGGGAGGAUCUGGGUUCAAUCCCUGGGUCAGGA
rnacentral:tRNA from 1 species